GACGAACGCUGGCGGCGUGCUUAACACAUGCAAGUCGAGCGGAAAGGCCCACUUGUGGGUACUCGAGCGGCGAACGGGUGAGUAACACGUGAGUAAUCUGCCCUUCACUUCUGGAUAACCCUCUGAAAGGGGGGCUAAUACGGGAUAUGACCUGCUGCCGCAUGGUGGUGGGUGGAAAGUUUUUUCGGUGGGGGAUGUGCUCGCGGCCUAUCAGCUUGAUGGUGGGGUAAUGGCCUACCAUGGCUUUGACGGGUAGCCGGCCUGAGAGGGUGACCGGUCACACUGGGACUGAGACACGGCCCAGACUCCUACGGGAGGCAGCAGUGGGGAAUAUUGGACAAUGGGCGGAAGCCUGAUCCAGCAACGCCGCGUGGGUGAUGACGGCCUUCGGGUUGUAAACCUCUUUCAGUACUGACGAAGCGUAAUGUGACGGUAGGUACAGAAGAAGCACCGGCCAACUACGUGCCAGCCGCCGCUGUAAUAC
rnacentral:rRNA from 1 species